AGGUACCAUGCUCCCUGCCCCCACUUACAUGCAGCCACCCUGACUAGCUCCUGGGAACUGGCUGGAGCUGAGUGACCAGAUGGCCAGACCCCUCUAGAGUGUGCAAGCUUGAGGGCCCAGGAUACUCCCUCUGUCAGUGCCUAACCUGGGAGAGAAGAGGGUCGGGUGAGGUUCACCAAGGAAGAGACAGGAUGAGAGCACCAUCCAUCCUCAUCCAGUUCCACCCUUGAGUCACCCAAGAAGAUGAAAGCAGGUGGAGAGCAGAAGGCGAGGGCAUGAAGAAGAGGCUGGAAGGAGGAAGAGAGGGCCGUGGUUCUCAUUUUCUAGGCGGGAAAAACACGUUUGUGGAGUCAGAGAUCACCAUGUUAGGUUUACAAAUAAAGACACCAGAG